ensembl:rRNA 5S_rRNA 5S ribosomal RNA
GUCUACGGCCAUACCACCCUGAACGCGCCCAAUCUCGUCUGAUCUCGGAAGCUAAGCAGGGUUGGGCCUGGUUAGUACUUGGAUGGGAGAACCCCAACUUCUUCCUUAAUGCUUCUGGAGUCAUCGAGG